ACACCUCAACUCUCGUGGUUUGCCAUGAUGAGCUUGGACUCUGGGGGUCUUGCUGGCCUAUGGUCAGCUCCUCUCAAAUAAAUCAGCUUGCCAGUGUUUGGUGGCAUCACAGGUGUGAUAACUAUCUACGCUUGUGGUUUUCCAUCAGGUAACCUUCAGUGAUGGAGGUUCGCUGGAGCUCAUAAAUGUCCCUCCUCAGCGAGGACAGCUUUUGAAC
rnacentral:misc_RNA from 1 species